AGUCGAGCGGGUAGCACAGAGAGCUUGCUCUCGGGUGACGAGCGGCGGACGGGUGAGUAAUGUCUGGGAAACUGCCUGAUGGAGGGGGAUAACUACUGGAAACGGUAGCUAAUACCGCAUAACGUCGCAAGACCAAAGUGGGGGACCUUCGGGCCUCAUGCCAUCAGAUGUGCCCAGAUGGGAUUAGCUGGUAGGUGGGGUAACGGCUCACCUAGGCGACGAUCCCUAGCUGGUCUGAGAGGAUGACCAGCCACACUGGAACUGAGACACGGUCCAGACUCCUACGGGAGGCAGCAGUGGGGAAUAUUGCACAAUGGGCGCAAGCCUGAUGCAGCCAUGCCGCGUGUGUGAAGAAGGCCUUCGGGUUGUAAAGCACUUUCAGCGGGGAGGAAGGCGGUGAGGUUAAUAACCUCAUCGAUUGACGUUACCCGCAGAAGAAGCACCGGCUAACUCCGUGCCAGCAGCCGCGGUAAUACGGAGGGUGCAAGCGUUAAUCGGAAUUACUGGGCGUAAAGCGCACGCAGGCGGUCUGUCAAGUCGGAUGUGAAAUCCCCGGGCUCAACCUGGGAACUGCAUUCGAAACUGGCAGGCUAGAGUCUUGUAGAGGGGGGUAGAAUUCCAGGUGUAGCGGUGAAAUGCGUAGAGAUCUGGAGGAAUACCGGUGGCGAAGGCGGCCCCCUGGACAAAGACUGACGCUCAGGUGCGAAAGCGUGGGGAGCAAACAGGAUUAGAUACCCUGGUAGUCCACGCUGUAAACGAUGUCGAUUUGGAGGUUGUGCCCUUGAGGCGUGGCUUCCGGAGCUAACGCGUUAAAUCGACCGCCUGGGGAGUACGGCCGCAAGGUUAAAACUCAAAUGAAUUGACGGGGGCCCGCACAAGCGGUGGAGCAUGUGGUUUAAUUCGAUGCAACGCGAAGAACCUUACCUGGUCUUGACAUCCACAGAACUUAGCAGAGAUGCUUUGGUGCCUUCGGGAACUGUGAGACAGGUGCUGCAUGGCUGUCGUCAGCUCGUGUUGUGAAAUGUUGGGUUAAGUCCCGCAACGAGCGCAACCCUUAUCCUUUGUUGCCAGCGGUUCGGCCGGGAACUCAAAGGAGACUGCCAGUGAUAAACUGGAGGAAGGUGGGGAUGACGUCAAGUCAUCAUGGCCCUUACGACCAGGGCUACACACGUGCUACAAUGGCAUAUACAAAGAGAAGCGACCUCGCGAGAGCAAGCGGACCUCAUAAAGUAUGUCGUAGUCCGGAUUGGAGUCUGCAACUCGACUCCAUGAAGUCGGAAUCGCUAGUAAUCGUAGAUCAGAAUGCUACGGUGAAUACGUUCCCGGGCCUUGUACACACCGCCCGUCACACCAUGGGAGUGGGUUGCAAAAGAAGUAGGUAGCUUAAGCUCCUGUUCGCGGGAGGAAAAGAGAGGAGGAGAAAAAGAAGAAAGAAAAAAAAA
rnacentral:rRNA from 1 species